CAGAUGCUCCAGAGGGCCCUGUUUUUGCCUUUGAGCUGCAGAAAGGUAAGCAAGGAGAAGGCUCCUGAGAGAGGGUGCAGCUAGCACUAAGAGAGAUACAGGGUGCGACAAGGCCUGGUCACCAUUCAGAUGAGAACUUGGGACAGACACUGCAAAGGAGAAGCUCCCCACCACGCAGCCACUCUUGGAGGUGGAUUCUUAACAAGUGAUAACUGCCACCCAGCUGGAAGAGUGGAGAGGUCUACACCUCCACUAUGGCCUCAAACAAUGAAAGGGUAACACAUAAGGGUCUGGAGAGUUCCUUUUUGGUGGGCCUGUGUGGCAGUGCUGGCAUGCAGAGGUGCAGCUGACAUCUGUCAGGCUGUGCGUUAUCUCCAGCCAGAGCUAUGGAGUGUGACAAUGGUGUUUGUGUCCCGUCUAUCAAACGCCAUUAUCACACUAAAUAGCUACUGUUGGGCAAUCCAUCUGUUCAGGGAAGAGCACGUCAAGCAUCACAUUAUCUGCUGAGGAUGGACAACACCAAGUUAUGCUCACAUCAGUGUCCCCCCCUCCUCGUUCUUGGGUGCCAAAGUAAUUUCUGAAAUGGUGGGCUCGUAACAUGUAUGUUCUCUGAGAGCCAGAAUUUUCUCAACUUUGCCUUUUAUCCAUUGCCAUCAAUGGAUGGUUUCUUGUAGGAUGUAAGCUCCUUGAGGGCAGAGAUUGUUUUGUUUUCAUUUUCAUCUUUGUAUCCCCAGCUUAUCACAGCAUCUGGUACAUAGUAGUGCUUAAUAAAUGCUUAUAGAAUUGGAGUGUAUUUCUGAGUCACUAGAAAGAAUAAACACAAUCCCCCACAGAGCUCAGCAUACUGCUAGACACAGAGGGUCCCACAAUAAAUAUUUCUUGAAACAACAGCGAGGGAACAGAUACAGGGAAAAGAUAUCAUCUAGAAUGUGCAAAUAACCUGCUUAUUAUUUAGGUAGAAAAUGAAGGUAUGUGACUUUCUUCAUUGUAAAAUUCCUUUCAAAAGCACACUUGUUAGCAAACUUACAUACGGCCAAUUAUUGACCUUCCAGAAAUGCCAGCUAAUGUUUGACUCCUAUUGAUUUUAUUCCGUUACUGUACUGAUUGCUAUAUUUGCAAACGAGAUUCCCUCUCCCCUAAUGUUUCCUUUAUCUGCUAUGUUGAGUCACUGAAGACAACUUUUGAAAUUGUUAACUCUUAUGGCCUAUUUAAUAACUGAACUCUGCAGAGAUCUUGGGCUGAAAUGGAUGUCUCUGUUCAGCAGAGACAAAGUGGCCCUUCUCAUAUGCCAAAUAAGAGGAAGAUCAAAAGGUGUGCUGGCUUAAAGUGAUUUGGAUUAAUGAGUCAAUUUUAUGAUAGCCCAGGUUUGGGCUUUUUCCUCAGAAUCCAGUUGUUGGGCCUAAAUUCUUGGCACUACAAUUGGAGUGUCUGCUGCUUUAAAGCCCAGUUUGGGUAUGAGGCAAUCCUUUAGUACUAAUGAGGCAUCGCUCAUGGUAGAUGCAGUUUGAUUGGUGAACAGCACAUGAGGAUACCCCAAAAUACCUGGUGAUUGAUUAAAAACAAAAAGGAAGAAAUGGAAUAAUGGAAAGAGCACCAGAUGAAGAGAUAUUAAACUUGAUUCUUUGCUUAGGGAAGUAAUUUAACCCCUCUUGGCCUACUGGGGCAGGUAGGUGGCACGAUGGAUAGAAAGCCUGGUGGCCUGAAGUAAGGAAGACCUGAAUUC